GACGAACGCUGGCGGCGUGCUUAACACAUGCAAGUCGAACGGAAAGGCCCUGCUUUUGUGGGGUGCUCGAGUGGCGAACGGGUGAGUAACACGUGAGUAACCUGCCCUUGACUUUGGGAUAACUUCAGGAAACUGGGGCUAAUACCGGAUAUGAUCUCCUGCUGCAUGGUGGGGGUUGGAAAGUUUCGGCGGUUGGGGAUGGACUCGCGGCUUAUCAGCUUGUUGGUGGGGUAGUGGCUUACCAAGGCUUUGACGGGUAGCCGGCCUGAGAGGGUGACCGGCCACAUGGGGACUGAGAUACGGCCCAGAAUCCUACGGGAGGCAGCAGUGGGGAAUAUUGCACAAUGGGCGGAAGCCUGAUGCAGCAACGCCGCGUGCGGGAUGACGGCCUUCGGGUUGUAAACCGCUUUCGCAUGUGACGAAGCGUGAGUGACGGUAAUGGGUAAAGAAGCACCGGCUAACUACGUG
rnacentral:rRNA from 1 species